rfam:Thermovirga lienii DSM 17291, complete genome.
GGGUGGUUAGUUCAGAGGAAGAACGCUUCCUUGACGCGGAAGAGGUCGCAGGUUCGAGUCCUGCACCACCCA